GACGAACGCUGGCGGCGUGCUUAACACAUGCAAGUCGAGCGGAAAGGCCACUUCGGUGGUACUCGAGCGGCGAACGGGUGAGUAACACGUGAGUAAUCUGCCCAUGGCUUUGGGAUAGCCACCGGAAACGGUGAUUAAUACCGGAUACGACCACUUCUCGCAUGGGAUGGUGGUGGAAAGUUUUUUCGGCCAGGGAUGUGCUCGCGGCCUAUCAGCUUGAUGGUGAGGUAAUGGCUCACCAUGGCUUCGACGGGUAGCCGGCCUGAGAGGGUGACCGGUAACACUGGGACUGAGACACGGCCCAGACUCCUACGGGAGGCAGCAGUGGGGAAUAUUGGACAAUGGGCGGAAGCCUGAUCCAGCAACGCCGCGUGAGGGAUGACGGCCUUCGGGUUGUAAACCUCUUUCAGCAGGGACGAAGCGCAAGUGACAGUACCUGCAGAAGAAGCACCGGCCAACUACGUGCCAGCAGCCGCAGUAA
rnacentral:rRNA from 1 species